UGCUUUACACAUGCAAGUCGAACGGAUUAAAGAGCUUGCUCUUUAGUUAGUGGCGAACGGGUGAGUAAUAUAUCGGAACAUAUCCGGAAGUGGGGGAUAACGUAGCGAAAGUUACGCUAAUACCGCAUAUGCCCUGAGGGGGAAAGGGGGGGAUCGCAAGACCUCUCGCUUUCGGAGUGGCCGAUAUCGGAUUAGCUAGUAGGUGAGGUAAAGGCUCACCUAGGCGACGAUCCGUAGCUGGUCUGAGAGGACGACCAGCCACACUGGAACUGAGACACGGUCCAGACUCCUACGGGAGGCAGCAGUGGGGAAUUUUGGACAAUGGGCGAAAGCCUGAUCCAGCCAUACCGCGUGAGUGAAGAAGGCCUUCGGGUUGUAAAGCUC
rnacentral:rRNA from 1 species